rnacentral:rRNA from 1 species
GACGAACGCUGGCGGCGUGCUUAACACAUGCAAGUCGAACGAUGAAGCCUAGCUUGCUGGGUGGAGUAGUGGCGAACGGGUGAGUAAUACGUGAGUAACCUACCUUUAACUCUGGGAUAAGCCUGGGAAACGGGGUCUAAUACCGGAUACGACCAAUCUCCGCAUGGGGUGUUGGUGGAAAGCGUUAUGUAGUGGUUAUAGAUGGGCUCACGGCCUAUCAGCUUGUUGGUGAGGUAACGGCGCAGCAAGGCGACGACUGGUACCAGGCCUGAGAGGGUGACAGGCCACACUGCGCCUGAGACAAGGCACAGACUACUCCGGGAGGCAGCAGUGCGGAAUAUUGCACAAUGGGCGCAAGCAUGAUGCAGCGAAGCAGCGUGGGGGAUGACGGCAUUCGGGUUGUAAACCUCUGUUAGCAGGGAAGAAGAGAAAUUGACGGUACCUGCAGAGAAAGCGCCGGCUAACUACGUG